rnacentral:lncRNA from 1 species
UUUUUUUUUUCUUUUUUAACUUAGAGAAAACAAGAAGACGUGACAACACCAGAAACAAGAACAUGUCUCCGGCCAGCCUGUGCUGACCAGUACACAGUGAAUCACGCACAGAAAAGUAUGUCAUUCCGGUCGGUGUCUAGAAGCUCCACCGCCUGGCAAACAGACUGCAAAUAAAUAAAGUGCAUGGAGACCCCAUCACGCAGCAAGGGCCCCAUCGGGGAGAGAAGAGGUGGGGAGGGGAGGUGGAGCAGCAGCAGGCGGGGCUACCACUUCAAGCAGCAGGCGUGAAAAGGCAGGGACAGGAGCAGAUGCUGAGGGGCUCAGCCCUGCCCCUCCCCAGCCAGCCCCUCUAGGCCAAUACAGCCACACCAGGAGCCACCGGGGGUGGGCGGACAUGGACUUCCGUGCCCCUCUUAUGGGGUGGGGCUCCCUGCAGUCAGGGGUCUCUUAGGGUAGGGACCCCUGCAGCUCUGAUGCACAUUUCUCCCAGUAGGGAAGCAGGUUCCAGGGUCCCAGGCCGAGCCCCUUGCAUGGGGAGGGCUCAGUCACCCCCCACAUUCCCACACAUGCGAUCAGCAAAGAGCUUUCCUCCAUCCUUCCUGGCUGGCCCAGGAAGAGGGUGGAGCUGGGGAUCCAGUCACCCAGAGGGUGACACCAGGGUUUGAAAGGGCCACAUCUGUGCAUCAGACACAAGGAGGCCCCUCACUCCUCUUCUCCUCCAGCCCUGUGUCACUCUUAUAGUGGGUGCCCCCAGAGAUCUGUUGGGGGGACCAGCAGGCUGACAGGCCCCUGGAGGUGGUCCAGGGUGGACAGGGUUGGGGUAGAUGAGAGGGGCCAGCAGGGUCAGGGGUUCCCAUGAAACUUGGGACAAGGAGGCACGUCAUCAAGCCUUGGAUGUGGAAGACUGCAAGGGGCACAAGGCAGCCACUGUCCAGCCUCUUCUGGGGUGAGGCAGGAGGACAGCUUCAUGCAGGACCUGAGUCCAGUGGGCAGCUGAGGAGGGUACAUGGUAGGUGGCUGGGCCACUCUGUCCCUGGAGCUGGCCAGACUGCUGCAGUUUUCAGUCCCAGGAACUGAGAACGUGGCCCUCGGGGUACCAGUGCAAGAGAUGGGGAAAUGGGGAAAGAGGGUGAGGGCGAGGGUCUCUUCCUGGCUCCCCUCUGGGCUGCUCCUGACCAUUGUACACCGGCUAGCAGCACACCCGGGGGCCCCCAGGACCAAUCCAAGCCGUGAGAUGAGAUUCUCCUGUGUGGUCCUGGGGAUGGGGGGUCGAACUUGAGGAGAGAGAAUUGGGGUCAUGCCAUGGGUCUCAGCCCCAGCACACCCCAAGUUUAUCCUUUCACCCUCCUGGUUAUGUGUGUCUCCAGGACCCACAACACCAAGAUCACCCCCACUUGCCCACCAAACUGGGAGGCUUGUGCCACUGCACUGCUGAGGAGCCCUUGGUGAAGCUCCAGGUGGGGUGGGGAAGUUAGGCUGUUGGGGAGAGCUUGGCUCCCCAGGGGUCCUGGGGCCCAUCUCUUCUGUCUCCCAUCUCAGCUGUCUGUCCUCCUGAUCUUCCCUGUGACCUUCGGUACUGCUCCAAAGAAAGUGAGAUCCCCAGAUUCCAUACCCCUAGGCCCCUUUCUCCCUUGGUGCCCCAGGAGCCCUAUGCUUCCCUCUCCACUUCCCCUUCCCUCCUCCCACCAUGCCAGGUCUUGGAGAAGACUGGGGAGGGGUGUGGGGGCCUGCAGGCCCAGGGGCACACGCAGUUCCUCCUCCUCCUAUCUGCGUGUCAAGGGUAAACCCCCCCCCGAAGCCUCAGUUUCCUCUGUCAUUAGAAGGGGGAAAUACACCUCUCUCAGUGCUGCCAGCAGAUCUCAGUUCCCAGGGAACUCAGACCUUCCUUCCCAAGCCAGGACUCGAUCCCUGGGCACCCCCACCCCGUGAGCCUUUGUCCAUGCUGUGCCUCUACUAGGAAGGCCCUUCUCCUGUUCACGUCCUUCACGCUGCCUCUGCCCAGGCAAGUCCAGGGCCAGAGGUGCCCCCAGGCAGGGAUGAAACUCUUGGCAAGGCCAAAGAAGGGGCAGGUCACCGCCAACAAA